AUGUUGCUGCGGUUAAAGGCUCGCAGUUGAAUGUCAGUUAUAAUACGCGUAGAAGUGCCGGGACGUUGUUCGGCAGCUCUUACGGGCUCGUCGUUCCGUUCCUUGAGCGCAUUUCUCGCAAUCUAACAAUGAGUUGCCUCGCGUUGCGAGUUUCGGUUUUCGGAUCGUGCUCGCUUUCGCUGGUUUCUCGACACCUUGAGUAAAUCAGAGUGCUUAAAGCAGUCGUUCUAAAACGGUCUGCCGUUCUGUUGCCUCUCACGGGGUAACGCGGUAUGUCUGUGACGGGAUUCGCGUCCUGUUAAGACAUUGUCUUUGUUUUGCAUGGUACGUCGGAAGACGCCCUGUGAGUUGGUCGCGCUUACGAUUUUGACACAAGCGGAAAGGGGCAACCCUUUGUGUGCGUGUGCGCCAACAAGCAGGGAAUGAUACGAAAGGGAUGGCUCGAAGGCAUUGGUAUUGCGAGGCGAGAGGUGAAAUUCUAUGACCCCCGCAAGACUACCCGAAGCGAAAGCGUCUGCCUAGGACGUCUUCAUUAAUCAUGAACGAAAGUUGAAGGAUCGAAGGCGAUCAGAUACCGCCCUAGUUUUAACCGUAAACUAUACCAACCAUCAAUCCGUCGACGCGUUCCCUUACUCCCGGCAUAUUCGCGGCGGCUUCGCGGUCGUUCGUGGUGUGUCGUGGACAAGUGUAAGCUCGAUGGGCAGUUCCUUUCGAACGGAAAACCAGAGUUUUUCGGUUCCGGGGGGAGUCUGGUUGCAAAGCUGAAACUUAAAGGAAUUGACGGAAAGGCACCACCAGGCGUGGAGCUUGCGGCUCAAUUUGACUCAACACGGGAAAUCUCACCAGACCCGAACAUCUUUGAUGACUGACAGACUGAAAGCUCUUUCUCAAUAAAGUGGAUGGUGGUGCAUGGCCGUUCUUAGUUGGUGGAGUGAUCUGUCUGGUUAAUUCCGAUAACGAACGAGACUCUCCCCUGCUAACGAACCUCGGUGUUCUUGUAGACAGUGUGAUUCGAAUCAAGAGUUUGACUGGUAACGGUCUUAUCUCGGACGUUGUCCACUGAUCCCUGUUGCGAUUAUUGGAGCGGGUUUCUUGCGUACGUGUGGCACUUGGUUUCGGCCUUGCGCUCGCUGCGUGGUUUCCUUAGCGACGGUAAUUCGUGGCUCGGAGUACGUUUCUUCUUAGAGGGAUUGACGACUUAUAAGUCGUAAGAGACAGAGAGCAAUAACAGGUCUGUGAUGCCCUUAGAUGUUCUGGGCUGCACGCGUGUUACAAUGCCGGAGUCAACGGGUUAUCACGCUUCAUCGCGUCCUACUCUGAAAAGAGUGGGUAAACCUCUGAAACUCCUAACACGUUGCUAAAAGCCUUCGGUUUUUAACGCGUACUACGGCUUGCUUGGGACUGGGGAUUGCAACUAUUCCCCACGAACGAGGAAUGCCUUGUAGUGGCGAGUCACAGAGCUCGCUGCGACUCUGUCCCUGCCCUUUGUACACACCGCCCGUCGCUACUACCGAUUGAGUGUACCAGUGAGAUUCUUGGACUGGCGAACCGAUUGGUCUCUGGCCUUUCGGCGUACGACAGAAAGAGACUCGAACUGGUGCACUAGAGAA
rnacentral:rRNA from 1 species